rnacentral:rRNA from 1 species
UAACGAUACGGGACUCAUCCGAGGCCCCGUAAUCGGAAUGAGAACACUCUAAAUCCUUUAACGAGGAUCUAUUGGAGGGCAAGUCUGGUGCCAGCAGCCGCGGUAAUUCCAGCUCCAAUAGCGUAUAUUAAAGUUGUUGCGGUUAAAAAGCUCGUAGUUGGUUCUGCGUGCCACGCUGUCGGUUCACCGGUUGCCGGUGCAACUGGCAUGUCGUGGCAUGUCCUGUCGGUGGCGGACAGGCUCGCGGCGUGCCCUAUGCGGUAACGUGUAGGUUGCUGCGCCGCGAUGUUUCUGUUCGCCGGCUCAAUCCUACCGCGGUGCUCUUUACCGAGUGUCGAGGUAGGCCGACACUGUUUACUUUGAACAAAUUAGAGUGCUUAAAGCAGGCUCUUAAAUCAGCCUGAAUAGUGGUGCAUGGAAUAAUGGAACAGGACCUUGGUUCUAUUUUGUUGGUUUUCGGAAUCCAAGGUAAUGAUCAAUAAGGACAGGCGGGGGCAUUCGUAUUGCGGCGUUAGAGGUGAAAUUCUUGGAUCGUCGCAAGACGCACUAGAGCGAAAGCAUUUGCCAAGUAUGUCUUAAUUGAUCAAGAACGAAAGUUAGAGGUUCGAAGGCGAUCAGAUACCG